rnacentral:rRNA from 1 species
GAUGAACGCUGGCGGCGUGCCUAAUACAUGCAAGUCGAGCGAACGGACGAGAAGCUUGCUUUUCUGAUGUUAGCGGCGGACGGGUGAGUAACACGUGGAUAACCUACCUAUAAGACUGGGAUAACUUCGGGAAACCGGAGCUAAUACCGGAUAAUAUUUUGAACCGCAUGGUUCAAAAGUGAAAGACGUUCUUGCUGUCACUUAUAGAUGGAUCCGCGCUGCAUUAGCUAGUUGGUAAGGUAACGGCUUACCAAGGCAACGAUGCAUAGCCGACCUGAGAGGGUGAUCGGCCACACUGGAACUGAGACACGGUCCAGACUCCUACGGGAGGCAGCAGUAGGGAAUCUUCCGCAAAGGGCGAAAGCCUGACGGAGCAACGCCGCGUGAGUGAUGAAGGUCUUCGGAUCGUAAAACUCUGUUAUUAGGGAAGAACAUAUGUGUAAGUAACUGUGCACAUCUUGACGGUACCUAAUCAGAAAGCCACGGCUAACUACGUG